AGUGAACGCUGGCGGUGGGCCUAACACAUGCAAGUCGAACGGCAGCACAGUAAGAGCUUGCUCUUACGGGUGUCGAGUGGCGGACGGGUGAGGAAUACAUCGGAAUCUACUUUUUCGUGGGGGAUAACGUAGGGAAACUUACGCUAAUACCGCAUACGACCUACGGGUGAAAGCAGGGGAUCUUCGGACCUUGCGCGAUUGAAUGAGCCGAUGUCGGAUUAGCUAGUUGGCGGGGUAAAGGCCCACCAAGGCGACGAUCCGUAGCUGGUCUGAGAGGAUGAUCAGCCACACGGGAAGUGAGACACGGUCCAGACUCCUACGGGAGGCAGCAGUGGGGAAUAUUGGACAAUGGGCGCAAGCCUGAUCCAGCCAUACCGCGUGGGUGAAGAAGGCCUUCGGGUUGUAAAGCCCUUUUGUUGGGAAAGAAAAGCAGCAGGUUAAUACCCCGCUGUUCUGACGGUACCCAAAGAAUAAGCACCGGCUAACUUCGUG
rnacentral:rRNA from 1 species